GAUGAACGCUGGCGGCGUGCCUAAUACAUGCAAGUCGAGCGAACAGACGAGUAGCUUGCUCCUCUGACGUUAGCGGCGGACGGGUGAGUAACACGUGGAUAACCUACCUAUAAGACUGGGAUAACUUCGGGAAACCGGAGCUAAUACCGGAUAAUAUAUUGAACCGCAUGGUUCAAUAGUGAAAGACGGUUUUGCUGUCACUUAUAGAUGGAUCCGCGCUGCAUUAGCUAGUUGGUAAGGUAACGGCUUACCAAGGCAACGAUGCGUAGCCGACCUGAGAGGGUGAUCGGCCACACUGGAACUGAGACACGGUCCAGACUCCUACGGGAGGCAGCAGUAGGGAAUCUUCCGCAAUGGGCGAAAGCCUGACGGAGCAACGCCGCGUGAGUGAUGAAGGUCUUCGGAUCGUAAAACUCUGUUAUUAGGGAAGAACAAAUGUGUAAGUAACUAUGCACGUCUUGACGGUACCUAAUCAGAAAGCCACGGCUAACUACGUG
rnacentral:rRNA from 1 species